rnacentral:tmRNA from 1 species
UAUAGCGCACAGCUCGUCUCUCCUCAAGUUUAAGAAGCCUUUCUUGAGGAAUGAGGCGUCAGAAAAAGGCUUCACUUUUUGAGUCUAGUGCUCGGACUCAAAAAGUAACAAAAGUGCACUAGGGAAUUGAGACUCUGUCCGCAAAGUCACAAUUCCCAAAAAACGAUUGCGGACUGCGCUCGGAGAAGCCGAGGUCAACUAUCUUCGGACGCGGGUUCGACUCCCGCCGUCUCCACCA